UCUGAUUCAAGCUCUCUAAGUGGAAGUAUAUGCUUCCUACCUGAGAGAGAAUCGGGUUCAAAUCUUGCGGGGACCUUCUUUUAUGGCCAAUGCGAAGUACUGCUCUAUGAUUAUUGAUGAUAUAUGCUAUGCUUAGGAUGGACUCGUGCCUUAGAGACUUUAAACUUGAAAGAUAAUAGUUGUACUUAUUUGAUUGUAUUUAAACAAUGAGUUCAUUUAUUCAAUAAAACAAAAUUAUU
rnacentral:lncRNA from 1 species